CAGGCAGUUGGCAUCAUUGAGGCUGUUCUGGAGAAGUUUGGAACCUAUGAACACUUUGAGGCUGCCACUGGGGGGCAGCUGCUCACCAAGUGCCAGAUAUGGUCGAUUGUGCGCAAAUACAUGCAGAAGGAGGGCUGCGUUGGGGAGGUUGUGGUGCAGCUGAGUGAGGACCUGCUGUCCCAGGCAGUGAUGAUGGUGGAGAACAGCCGGCCCACAUUGGCGAUCAACCUGACCGGAGCCCGCCAGUACUGGUUGGAGGGCAUGCUGCGGCAUGAGAUAGGUCAGGGUGUGGGUAUCCGGGCAGAUGGGUAGGCAUGAAAGGGGCCUGGGAGCUGGGACGGGUGGGAAGGAGGGGCCCCAAUAACUCCCCUUUUUGUUUCUCCCCCUUCCCUCCUGAGGUCGGGGCUUUCCCUUCCUGAGCAGCCACCUCCCGCCCUCUGCUUACAGAGGUAGGCCAGAACAUGCCUGCCCAUGCUCUGGGCUCGCUCUCAUCUCUUGGUCCUUUCGGGUAUAUUUUUCUCUCCACUUCCUCUCCGACUUCUCCCAACAGUGCGGGCAAGGCUGGUCAGGCCCUGACCGGCCAGAGAAAG
rnacentral:sRNA from 1 species